rnacentral:rRNA from 1 species
CCCCUAGAUGUCCUGGGCCGCACGCGCGCUACACUGAACAGUUCAACAAGUCUUAACCUUGGCCGAUAGGUCUGGGUAAUCUUUGAACGCUGUUCGUGAUUGGGAUAGACCUUUGCAAUUAUGGGUCUUCAACGAGGAAUUCCUAGUAAACGCAAGUCAUCAGCUUGCAUUGAUUACGUCCCUGCCCUUUGUACACACCGCCCGUCGCACCUACCGAUUGAAUGGUCCGGUGAAAUCUCGGGACGGCGGCUCGGUCGCUUGCGUCCGACUGCUGAAACUUGAUUAAACCAUAUCAUUUAGAGGAAGGUGAAGUCGUAACA